UCCCUACUGGUUUGUGUACGGCCAAUAAUAUUUGUUUCACCUAUUAGUGACCUUGGUAACACUUCACUUAAUAUCUCAAGUAAAUUCAAUAUUAUUACAAAUUACGCUAUGAACGUAAUUUAUUUUGUAUAUUGUAUAUUUUCAAGGUUUCUUUGCCAUUAUAUUAAUUACGAAUUAUCAAUUGUAUAUCUACUUUAUGCUUUCGGGCGUGCAUUU